rnacentral:rRNA from 1 species
UACAGAGGUCUCGAGCGAUGCGCGGGUGCAUUGGGCUUACAGCGUGCGUCGGCGGCCCCGUAAGUGCCUUGUGAAAUCCCAUGGCUCAACCAUGGAAUGGCUCGGUAGACUGCGGGGCUUGAGGUCGGUAGGGGUCGCCGGACCGCUAGGUGGAGCGGUGAAAUGCGUAGAUAUCUAGAGGAACGCCAAAGGUGAAGACAGGCGACUGGGCCGAUUCUGACACUGAGGCACGAAAUCGUGGGGCGCAAACGGG